rnacentral:rRNA from 1 species
AACGAACGUUGGCGGCAGGCUUAACACAUGCAAGUCGAGCGCUCUCUUCGGAGAGAGCGGCAGACGGGUGAGUAACGCGUGGGAACAUACCUAAUAGUACGGAAUAACGAUUGGAAACGAUCGCUAAUACCGUAUACGCCCUUAGGGGGAAAGAUUUAUCGCUAUUAGAUUGGCCCGCGUUGGAUUAGCUAGUUGGUGAGGUAACGGCUCACCAAGGCGACGAUCUAUAGCUGGUCUGAGAGGAUGAUCAGCCACACUGGGACUGAGACACGGCCCAG